rnacentral:rRNA from 1 species
CCUACGGGUGGCAGCAGUGAGGAAUAUUGGUCAAUGGACGAGAGUCUGAACCAGCCAAGUAGCGUGAAGGAUGACUGCCCUAUGGGUUGUAAACUUCUUUUAUAUGGGAAUAAAAUGUUCCACGUGUGGGAUUUUGUAUGUACCAUAUGAAUAAGGAUCGGCUAACUCCGUGCCAGCAGCCGCGGUAAUACGGAGGAUCCGAGCGUUAUCCGGAUUUAUUGGGUUUAAAGGGAGCGUAGGUGGAUUGUUAAGUCAGUUGUGAAAGUUUGCGGCGCAACCGUAAAAUUGCAGUUGAAUCUGGCAGUCUUGAGUACAGUAGAGGUGGGCGGAAUUCGUGGUGUAGCGGUGAAAUGCUUAGAUAUCACGAAGAACUCCGAUUGCGAAGGCAGUUCACUGGACUGCAACUGACACUGAGGCUCGAAAGUGUGGGUAUCAAACAGGAUUAGAUACCCCUGUAGUC